rnacentral:rRNA from 1 species
UACGGAGGGGGCUAGCGUUGUUCGGAAUUACUGGGCGUAAAGCGCACGUAGGCGGCUUUGUAAGUUAGAGGUGAAAGCCCCAGGGCUCAACCCUGGAAGUGCACUCGAUACUGCGAGGCUAGAGUCCCGGAGAGGAUGGUGGAACUCUCGGUGUAGAGGUGAAAUUCGUAGAUAUCGAGAAGAACACCGGUGGCGAAAGGCGGCCAUCUGGACGGUGACUGACGCUGAGACGCGAAAGCGUGGGGAGCAAACAGG